rnacentral:rRNA from 1 species
AGUGAACGCUGGCGGAAUGCUUUACACAUGCAAGUCGAACGGCAGCACGGACUUCGGUCUGGUGGCGAGUGGCGAACGAGUGAGUAAUGUAUCGGAACGUGCCCAGUCGUGGGGGAUAACGUAGUGAAAAUUACGCUAAUACCGCAUACGAUCUAUGGAUGAAAGCGGGGGAUCGCAAGACCCCGCGCGAUUGGAGCGGCCGAUAUCAGAUUAGGUAGUUGGUGGGGUAAAGGCCCACCAAGCCAACGAUCUGUAGCUGGUCUGAGAGGACGACCAGCCACACUGGAACUGAGACACGGUCCAGACUCCUACGGGAGGCAGCAGUGGGGAAUUUUGGACAGUGGGCGAAAGCCUGAUCCAGCCAUUCCGCGUGCAGGAUGAGGGCCCUCGGGUUGUAAACUGCUUUUGUACAGAACGAAAAGGUUUCUACUAAUACUAGGAGCUCAUGACGGUACUGUAAGAAUAAGCACCGGCUAACUACGUGCCAGCCGCCGCGGUAAAAC